rnacentral:rRNA from 1 species
CCUACGGGAGGCAGCAGUGAGGAAUAUUGGUCAAUGGUCGGGAGACUGAACCAGCCAAGCCGCGUGAGGGAUGAAGGUACAGAGUAUCGUAAACCUCUUUUGUCAGGGAACAAAGGCGGGGACGUGUCCCCGGAUGAGUGUACCUGAAGAAAAAGCAUCGGCUAACUCCGUGCCAGCAGCCGCGGUAAUACGGAGGAUGCGAGCGUUAUCCGGAUUUAUUGGGUUUAAAGGGUGCGCAGGCGGUCUGUUAAGUCAGCGGUAAAAGCCCGGGGCUCAACCCCUGCCCGCCGUUGAAACUGGCAGUCUCGAGUGGGAGAGAAGUAUGCGGAAUGCGCGGUGUAGCGGUGAAAUGCAUAGAUAUCGCGCAGAACUCCGAUUGCGAAGGCAGCAUGCCGGCUCCACACUGACGCUGAGGCACGAAAGCGUGGGUAUCGAACAGGAUUAGAUACCCCAGUAGUC